UACAGAGGUGGCAAGCGUUGUUCGGAAUUACUGGGCGUAAAGGGCGCGUAGGCGGCCACCGCAAGUCGGUUGUGAAAUCUCUGGGCUUAACCCAGAAAGGUCAACCGAUACUGCGGGGCUAGAGUGCAGAAGGGGCAACUGGAAUUCUCGGUGUAGCGGUGAAAUGCGUAGAUAUCGAGAGGAACACCUGCGGCGAAGGCGGGUUGCUGGGCUGACACUGACGCUGAAGCGCGAAAGCUAGGGGAGCGAACGGG
rnacentral:rRNA from 1 species